rnacentral:rRNA from 1 species
GACGAACGCUGGCGGCGUGCCUCAUACAUGCAAGUCGAGCGGAUGGAAGGAAGCUUGCUUCCUAAAGUCAGCGGCGGAGGGGUGAGUAACACGUGGGCAACCUUCCCCUAAGAUCGGGAUAACUUCGGGAAACCGGAGCUAAUACAGGAUAUGAUUAUGUAGCACAUGAGACAUAAUGGAAAGACGGUUUCGGCUGUCACUUAGGGAUGGGCCCGCGGCGCAUUAGCUAGUUGGUGAGGUAACGGCUCAACAAGGCGACGAUGCGUAGCCGACCUGAGAGGGUGCUCGGCCACACUGGGACUGAGACACGGCCCAGACUCCUACGGGAGGCAGCAGUAGGGAAUCUUCCGCAAUGGACGAAAGUCUGACGGAGCAACGCCGCGUGAGUGAAGAAGGUUUUCGGAUCGUAAAACUCUGUUGUUAGGGAAGAACAAGUACCAUAGUAACUGAUGGUACCUUGACGGUACCUAACCAGAAAGCCACGGCUAACUACGUGCCAGCAGCCGCAGUAAUAC